CAGUAGCCGCGGGAAUACGUAGGUGGCAAGCGUUGUCCGGAAUUAUUGGGCGUAAAGGGAGCGCAGGCGGUUUAGUAAGUCUGAAGUUAAAGGCAUUGGCUCAACCAAUGUAUGCUUUGGAAACUGUUAGACUUGAGUGCAGAAGGGGAGAGUGGAAUUCCAUGUGUAGCGGUGAAAUGCGUAGAUAUAUGGAGGAACACCGGUGGCGAAAGCGGCUCUCUGGUCUGUCACUGACGCUGAGGCUCGAAAGCGUGGGUAGCGAACAGGAUUAGAUACCCCCGUAGUCCCUGUCUCUUAUACA
rnacentral:rRNA from 1 species